rnacentral:rRNA from 1 species
UACGGGGGGGGCGAGCGUUGUUCGGAAUCACUGGGCGUAAAGGGCGCGUAGGCGGCCCGCACAAGUCUGCGGUGAAAACCCCCGGCUUAACCGGGGGCCGGCCGUGGAAACUGUCGGGCUGGAGGCUGGGAGAGGGCAGCGGAAUUCCCGGUGUAGCGGUGAAAUGCGUAGAGAUCGGGAGGAACACCGGCGGCGAAGGCGGCUGCCUGGACCAGUCCUGACGCUGAGGCGCGAAAGCUAGGGGAGCAACAGGG